UGCAGUCGCACGGUCGGGGGUAACUCCGGCAGUGGCGGACGGGUGAGUAACGCGUAGGAAUCUAUCCUUGGGUGGGGGACAACUGUGGGAAACUACAGCUAAUACCGCAUGAUGACUGAGGUCUAAAGGCGCAAGUCGCCUGAGGAGGAGCCUGCGUACGAUUAGCUAGUUGGUGGGGUAAAGGCCUACCAAGGCUACGAUCGUUAGCUGGUCUGAGAGGAUGAUCAGCCACACUGGGACUGAGACACGGCCCAGACUCCUACGGGAGGCAGCAGUGGGGAAUAUUGGACAAUGGGCGCAAGCCUGAUCCAGCAAUGCCGCGUGUGUGAAGAAGGUCUUCGGAUUGUAAAGCACUUUCGACGGGGACGAUGAUGACGGUACCCGUAGAAGAAGCCCCGGCUAACUUCGUGCCAGCAGCCGCGGUAAUACGAAGGGGGCUAGCGUUGCUCGGAAUGACUGGGCGUAAAGGGCGCGUAGGCGGAUGGUACAGUCAGAUGUGAAAUUCCCGGGCUCAACCUGGGGGCUGCAUUUGAUACGUGCUGUCUAGAGUGAGGAAGAGGGUCGUGGAAUUCCCAGUGUAGAGGUGAAAUUCGUAGAUAUUGGGAAGAACACCGGUGGCGAAGGCGGCGACCUGGUUCUUUACUGACGCUGAAGGCGGCGAAGGCGUGGGGAGCAAACAGGAUUAAGAUUACCCUGGUAGUCCACCGCCGUAAACCGAUGGUGUGCUGAUUGUUGGGCACUUAGUUGCUCAGGGUCGUAGCUACGCGAAUAGCACACCGGCCUGGGGAGUACGGCCGCAGUGACUCAAGGAUGACGGGGCCGACAGCGGUGGGACUGGGUUAUUCGAAGCA
rnacentral:rRNA from 1 species